UACGUAGGGUGCAAGCGUUGUCCGGAAUUAUUGGGCGUAAAGAGCUCGUAGGCGGUCUGUCGCGUCUGCUGUGAAAACUCAGGGCUUAACCCUGAGCUUGCAGUGGGUACGGGCAGACUAGAGUGCGGUAGGGGAGACUGGAAUUCCUGGUGUAGCGGUGAAAUGCGCAGAUAUCAGGAGGAACACCGGGUGGGCGAAAGGCGGGUCUCUGGGCCGUAACUGACGCUGGAGGAG
rnacentral:rRNA from 1 species